GGUUUUGGUUUAAACCUCCCAUUGUUUUCACCCAAUACCAAAAUGCAAGCCUCCCCCAUACAGGGAAAUAGCCUACCAAUAACCCCCAGGGCAGGUUUCAGGUGUAACCCCCCAAAACGCCAAGCAACUAGCCCCCCCCCCAGGGGCCUGCAGCAGUACUUAAAUUUGGGCCAAAAGGGGAAGCUUGACCUAAAAAUGGGUUACUUAGGGCCGGUUAAUUUUGGGCCAGGGACCGGGGUUAUACGACAGGCCCAAAAAAAUGUUACCGGGGUAAAGCCCGACUUAAAAAAAAUUACUAAAUUAGGGCUGGAAAAAAGGUGGGGUGUAAAAAACCAAAAACUAAAAAAAACCCCCCCCCCCUAAUAAAAAACUACUUCAACUCGUGAAAGCAGGGACACAAACUAAGAUUAGAUACCUUACUAUGCCCCGCCGUAACACAGCAAUUAAACAACCAAUUGCUCGCCAAAUAACUACGAGUAAAAACUUAAAAUUUAAAAGACUUGACGGUACUUCACAACAACCUAGAGGAGCCUGUCCAAUAACCGAUAAUCCACGAUUAACCCAACCCGUUUUUGCCUACAGUCUAUAUACCGCCGUCGCCAGCUUACCUUGUGAAAGAAACAAAGCAAGCUAGAUAGUACCACACUAAUACGACAGGUCGAGGUGUAACUUAUAAGCGGGACAAAGAUGGGCUACAUUUUCUCAACCAGAAAAAACACGAAUAUAGCAUGAAACAGCAACCUGAAGGCGGAUUUAGCAGUAAGACAAAAAUAGAACGUUUAUCUGAAAUUAACGCAAUGAAGUGCGUACACACCGCCCGUCACCCCUGUAGAUAUCCACAAACAUCCAUAAACACAUAACAUUCUAUAAGCAGGGUAAGUCGUAACAUGGUAAGCGUACUGGAAAGUGUGCUUAGAU
rnacentral:ncRNA from 1 species